rnacentral:rRNA from 1 species
UGGGGAAUAUUGCACAAUGGGGGAAACCCUGAUGCAGCGACGCCGCGUGAACGAAGAAGGUAUUCGUAUCGUAAAGUUCUGUCCUAUGGGAAGAUAAUGACAGUACCAUAGAAGAAAGCUCCGGCUAAAUACGUGCCAGCAGCCGCGGUAAUACGUAUGGAGCGAGCGUUGUCCGGAAUUAUUGGGCGUAAAGGGUACGCAGGCGGUUUAAUAAGUCGAAUGUUAAAGAUCGGGGCUCAACCCCGCAAAGCAUUGGAAACUGAUAAACUUGAGUAGUGGAGAGGAAAGUGGAAUUCCUAGUGUAGUGGAGAAAUACGUAGAUAUUAGGAGGAAUACAAGUAGCGAAGGAGACUUUCUGGAAACAAACUGACGCUGAGGUACGAAAGCGUGGGGGGCAAACAGG